UACGGGGGGAGCAAGCGUUGUUCGGAUUUACUGGGCGUAAAGGGCGCGUAGGCGGCGUGACAAGUCACUUGUGAAAUCUCCGGGCUUAACCCGGAGCGGCCAAGUGAUACUGUCGUGCUAGAGUGCGGAAGGGGCUACUGGAAUUCUCGGUGUAGCGGUGAAAUGCGUAGAUAUUGAGAGGAACACCUGCGGCGAAGGCGGGUAGCUGGGCCGACACUGACGCUGAGGCGCGAAAGCCAGGGGAGCGAACGGG
rnacentral:rRNA from 1 species